CGAGUUAACGACGUGCUUGUAGGAUCCCUUAUAAAGAUGCUUAAAGAGCAGGAUUACUCGGGUCGCUUACACCGGUCGCUUAGCUUAAUUUGGUUUAAAAAAAAAGAAAAAUAAAUGUUAAUGGAAGAGGCGUCGCUUAAUUAAUCGAUACAAGAGACGUCGCUUAAUGGGACACGCGUCACUCUCUGUCUCUUUCAUCUCUAUCUCUCUCACGAAGCUCUGAAAUCAGACGGUUUCAAUUCCGAAACCGCGUGAUUGAUUUCUCCGCGCCGGAUGAAUCAGUCGCCGAUUCUGGAUCUCCUUCUCGAUUUCUCCUCGACGAUGAGAGAAUCGGCGUCUGUCUCAGGGGGUCUCCUCGAGGACUCCGCCUCUCUUUCGUCAUCUCUCCUCGCUUACUCCGCUUCUGUUUCCACAGCUCUCCUCGAUGACACAAUCGGCGUCUCUCUCGGUGGGUCUCCUCGAGGACUCCGCCUCUCUUUCUUCGUCUCUCCUCGACUUCUGCGCUUCUGUUUCCACAUCUCUCCUCGAUGAUUCCAAUACCAUCUCUCUCUCUCUCUCUUGACGGUUCUCCUCGACAUAGACUUGCUCCACCUCUCUCUCGGUAGCUCUCCUCGAGUUGGAAAAUUGGAUGGCUCGUUGAAAAGACAUAGAGGCUCGUCGAAUAAUUGGAAAAGAUACAUGGAGGUUCUGUCUCUCGGUAGCUCUGCUCGACAGAGAAUCACUUCGUGUGAAACACAGGCUCUGCUUCACGCGAAGUUAACAGAGACGAGGAGUACUCAUGUUGUUGUCUUCUUUUGUCACGGGGAGUGGUUGUCUUCUAUCACGGUUGGGUCAGUAGUCAGGAGGAGUACUCAUGUUGUUGUCUUCUAGUGUGGUUGUGUCACGCUUUUGAAGUUUUCUGUCACUUGUAUAAAUUUUUUUUUCUCUUUUGUGUCUCACAUGUAUAAUUUGGUUUGGAGUCUUGUGUCACAUGGUUUGUAAUGUAUGGUCACGGAAUGGUUUGUGUCUCCCAUGUAAACUCACCCAACAUUUGCAUUCUCUAUAUAAAGUCACCAAACUCAUUAUCUAUCAUUCACACAUUUCUCAUUGAUUCACCAAACAUCUCUCUUCUUCUCACAAUACAACUUCUAAACAAAACUCAUUGAUUCACCCUCUUCUCACAAUACAACUUCACAACACAACGUUUGAUUCACAUCAUCUCUUCUUCUCACAAAACAACUUCACAAUUUCUCAUUGAUUCACCCUCUUUAUUUUUUUUUUCAACCUCUGGUUAUAUGGCAUCUUCAUCAAACAAUUUAGAUGACUCAUUUGAUGAUGCAUUUGAUCAAUAUUUUGAUCAAACCUUGGAGCAACUUACCAUUCAAAAAGAAGCAAAGAAAAAAAGAAAACAAAGAAUUUAUAUCGAAAUAAAUCGUGAAGAAGGUCAUAUACGUUUGUGGAAUGAUUAUUUCAGUGAAACUCCAACGUAUCCUGAAAAUUUAUUCCGACGACGUUUUCGAAUGAACAUGCCAUUGUUCAUGCACAUUGUUGAUCGACUCUCGAACAAAGUUCCAUUUUUUCGCCAAAAGAAAGACGGUCUUGGAAGGCUCGGUCUCUCUACACUCCAAAAAUGUACAGCAGCUAUUCGGCUCUUGGCAUACGGUAUGGCAGCUGACGCGGUCGAUGAAUACCUCAGACUCGGUGAAACCACAACUCGGGCAUGUUUGGAGAAUUUUGUAGAAGGAAUUAUUUUUUUGUUCGGCGAUGAGUACCUAAGAAGACCAACACCGGCUGAUCUUCAACGUCUACUUGAUAUUGGAGCGCAUCAUGGAUUUCCCGGGAUGAUUGGAAGCAUCGAUUGUAUGCAUUGGGAGUGGAAGAAUUGUCCCACCGCUUGGAAAUGACAAUAUUCUCGCGGUUCGGGUAAACCAACGAUCGUUUUAGAGGCGGUUGCUUCAUAUGAUCUCUGGAUAUGACAUGCGUUUUUUGGACCUCCAGGUACCUUAAAUGAUAUCAAUGUUCUUGAUCGCUCACCUGUUUUUGAUGAAAUAAUAAAAGGUCAAGCUCCGCAAGUGAUUUACUCUGUCAAUGGAAGAGAGUAUCACUUGGUUUACUAUCUCACCAAUGGUAUUUAUCCGAAAUGGGCAACUUUUAUCCAAUCUAUUUCAAUACCACAAGGGCCGAAAGCAGUUUUAUUUGCUCAACGCCAAGAAGCUGUCCGAAAAGAUGUCGAGCGUGCUUUUGGAGUCUUGCAAGCUCGUUUUGCCAUCGUUAAGAAUCCAUCACUUUUUUGGGAUAAAGUCAAAAUUGAGAAGAUUAUGAGAGCAUGUAUCAUACUCCAUAAUAUGAUAGUAGAAGACGAACGAGAUGGAUACACGCAAUUUGAUGUUUCCGAGUUCCUACAUGGAGAAGACAACACAAGUUCACAUGUGGAUCUCAACUUUUCUACAGAUAUCCCUACAAAUAUCGCCAAUAUGAUGGGUGUUCGAACUAAAAUUCGUGAUAGACAAAUGCAUCAAUAACUGAAAGCUGAUUUGGUUGAACAUGUAUGGAGUCAAUUUGGAUGUGAUGAAGAUAACAAUUGAGCUCGAAUGUUUGUUUCAAAUUAUUCUCGAUUAUUUUUUUAUGUUUUUAUUUUAAAAUCUAUGUUAUAAAUGUUGUCUUUUAAUAUGUUUUAUACAAUAAAUAAAUUUUAUGUUAUAUAAAACAAUUUUUUUUAAGCAACCCAAAAUAAGAAACUUGCAUUGGAGGACAAAAAAUAGAAGUUUCUUAAAAAAAUUGCUUAACACAUAUUUAGUACUAAAAAAGUGACUAAGCAACCCAUUAGGGUUGUUAGGGAUAAUGUUGCUCUAAGGCCAUCAUUAUCGGAGUCUCUUAGUUGCGUCUUUUAAUUUAUUUAAGAAUAAAAAAAAUGGAAAAUAGCAAUUAACAUAAGAGACGUGCCUUAAUUAGGCAACAGAAGAGACGUCUCUUGUGAGCCACUCGUCAAGGUGAGAGAGAGAGAGAGAGAGAGAGAGAGAGAGAGGCGAUGGAGGAAGAGGAGCACGAGGUAUACGGUGGAGAAAUCCCAGACGUCGGAGUUGGAUGGAUUGAUUGAUUUGGUGUUGGUAACAAUAGGAGUUGGAUGAGAAGAAGAAGCGAUUGAAAGAGAUUGACGAUGAAGCUGCUGCUCUUCGUGAGAUGCAGGCCAAGGUUGAGAAGGAUAUGGGACCUCAAGGCUGGGAAUUGCUCUUCCUCAGUUUAUUCUAAACUUAAACGGAGAAUCUGGUGGGCUACUGUUUCUGUUUACAGUUGGUUUAUGUAUUCUCUUGCCGCUAGUGGUCGCCUCCAUCUACCUCUGGAGAUCAUCAAAGUACACCGGGAACUACAUCAAGCUUCAAACUCGUCAAGCGUAUUAUGAGUUAAUGAAACCCUCUUUGGCUACAAGCAAAGUCAUGGACAUUUCAUCAAAGCAGCUGAGUACACAGAGAUUCCAGUCCGUAAAACUGAUGAUGAAUCUCUGAAGAAACUCUUUACUUAUGUCAAAAGCGAGCUAAGUCUGGAUCCUAAGAAAAUGAAGCAAGAUGAAGCUAAGUUUUAGAAACAGGAUCCUGCAGUUAUCAAGGCUGAGCUUUUGAUACAUAUACAGUUAACUCGUGAAUCAUCAGUUUUGUCUCCAUCUCUGCAAAGUGAUUUCAGGCGUGUCUUAGUGUUUGCACCUCGUCUCCUUGAAGAUUUAAUGAAGAUGGCGGUUAUACCCCACAAUGAACAAGGGCAUGGAUGGUUAAGUCCUGCACUCGGAGUCAUAGAGCUAUCUCAAUGCACUCUUCAGGCCGUUCCUCUUAGUGCGAGGAAGUCAACUUCAGAAGACACUGCUCCUUUGAUUGCAGGCUAUGCUCUUGUAAAGUUUGAUUGUUUAGUGGCUUGUACUUUGUUGAAAGACUGCAAGUUCAUUGAUAGGAAUUUUUCCAUGAUCUUGUUCUGUUUCAGACAAGCAUGGAUUUUCUCACGAUUUGGUUUUGUUUUUUUUGAGCAACAAAAAACAACAUUUUUUUAAGAACCCCUAAAUAAGAAACUACCACUGGAGAGUAUGAAUCAAUGUGUUUCUUAAA